GAUGAACGCUAGCGGCAGGCUUAACACAUGCAAGUCGAGGGGCAGCGCGGGAUAGCAAUAUCCUGGCGGCGACCGGCGGACGGGUGCGUAACGCGUGAGCGACAUGCCCGUUGCCCGGGGACAACCGGUGGAAACGCCGACUAAUCCCCGAUGGGAUACGAUGCUUCAUGGCAUUGUAUUGAAAGUUACGGCGGCGACGGAUUGGCUCGCGUCCGAUUAGCUGGUUGGCGGGGUAACGGCCCACCAAGGCUGCGAUCGGUAGGGGUUCUGAGAGGAAGGCCCCCCACAAUGGGACUGAGACACGGCCCAUACUCCUACGGGAGGCAACAGUGAGGAAUAUUGGUCAAUGGGCGGAAGCCUGAACCAGCCAUGCCGCGUGCGGGAAGGAGGCCCUAUGGGCUGUGAACCGCUUUUGCCUGGGGGCAAUAAGGGCGUCGCGCACGUCCGAUGAGAGUACCAGGCGAAUAAGCAUCGGCUAACUCCGUG
rnacentral:rRNA from 1 species